rnacentral:rRNA from 1 species
AUGCAAAGCAAACCACAUUCUCCUUCCCCCCUUCCAUCGAUCGAUCGAUCCAUCACGAUGGAAACCAGCUCCGAUUCCCUUAAACCCUUGGGCCCCAAGGGCGCCGGGCUGGCUGAAGCUGGCGACGGCGGCACCAUGUUGAAAGCGUCGACGGCGCCUAACAAGCCUCCGCGGCCGGUGGCUUCCCGGUUCGCGAUGCUGACGCGGUUCCACGCCGGAUACUUCCGCAUCAGCCUGGCGCUGAGCGGGCAGGCGCUGCUGUGGCGCACACUGAGCGACAGGUCCACGGACCCGAGCGCGCUGCAUCCCUUGGUGCAGUCCCUGCCGUCGGCGGCGUUCGUGCUGCUCUGGUCGCUGGCGCUGCUCACCCUGUUCGCGCUGUGCGUGCUCUACGUGGCGCGCUGCGUGGUCCGGCUCCCCGCCGUGCGCGCCGAGUUCCGGCACCACGUCGGCAUGAACUACCUGUUCGCGCCCUGGAUCUCGUGGCUGCUGCUGCUGCAGGCCACGCCGUUCCUGCGCCCGGACGCGCCGUCCUACCACAUGCUGUGGUGGGCCUUCUCGCUGCCCAUCCUUGUCCUGGACGUCAAGGUCUACGGCCAGUGGUUCACGCGCGGCAGGAAGUUCCUGUCCAUGGUGGCCAACCCGGCCAGCCACAUGACGGUGAUCGCGAACCUGAUGACGGCGAGGGCGGCGGCGAAGAUGGGGUGGCACGAGGGCGCCGUGGCCAUGUUCGCCGUCGGCGCCGCACACUACCUCGUGCUGUUCGUCACGCUGUACCAGAGGUUCCUCGGCUCCGACUCGCUGCCGGCCAUGCUCCGCCCGGUCUUCUUUCUCUUCUUCGCCGCUCCGAGCAUGGCGUCCCUCGCCUGGUGCUCCAUAUCCAUGUCCUUCGACACCGGCUGCAAGAUGCUCUUCUUCCUCUCCAUGUUCCUCUUCGCCUCCCUGGUGUCCCGGCCGACGCUGUUCAAGCGGGCGAUGCGGCGGUUCAGCGUGGCGUGGUGGGCCUACUCGUUCCCGUUGACGUUGCUGGCGCUGGCGUCGGCGGAGUACGCGCAGGAGGUGAGGGAGCCGGCGGCGAGCGUGCUGAUGCUCGCGCUCGCCGUGCUCUCCGUCCUCGUCACCCUCGCGCUCAUGGUCUUCACCGCGCUCCGGCCCAACGACCUGCUGCCGCACGACGACCCCUUCUUCGCCGCCACGCUGCCCGCGCGCUAG